rnacentral:rRNA from 1 species
CACGUAGGGACCAAGCGUUGUCCGGAUUCAUUGGGCGUAAAGAGCUCGUAGGCGGUUCGAUAAGUCGGGUGUGAAACCUCCAGGCUCAACCUGGAGACGCCACCCGAUACUGUCGUGACUAGAGUCCAGUAGGGGAGCGUGGAAUUCCUGGUGUAGCGGUGAAAUGCGCAGAUAUCAGGAGGAACACCAGCGGCGAAGGCGGCGCUCUGGGCUGGAACUGACGCUGAGGCGCGAAAGCGUGGGGAGCAAACAGG